UACGAAGGGGGCUAGCGUUGGUCGGAAUCACUGGGCGUAAAGGGCGCGUAGGCGGCCGAUCAAGUCGGGGGUGAAAGCCUGUGGCUCAACCACAGAAUUGCCUUCGAUACUGUUUGGCUUGAGACCGGAAGAGGUUAGUGGAACUGCGAGUGUAGAGGUGAAAUUCGUAGAUAUUCGCAAGAACACCAGUGGCGAAGGCGGCUGACUGGUCCGGUUCUGACGCUGAGGCGCGAAAGCGUGGGGAGCAAACAGG
rnacentral:rRNA from 1 species